rnacentral:rRNA from 1 species
AGAGUUUGAUCCUGGCUCAGAACGAACGCUGGCGGCAGGCUUAACACAUGCAAGUCGAACGAAGUCUUCGGACUUAGUGGCAGACGGGUGAGUAACGCGUGGGAACCUACCCUUUGGUACGGAAUAGCUCCGGGAAACUGGAAUUAAUACCGUAUGCUCCCUACGGGGGAAAGAUUUAUCGCCAAAGGAUGGGCCCGCGUUGGAUUAGCUAGUUGGUGGGGUAAUGGCCUACCAAGGCGACGAUCCAUAGCUGGUCUGAGAGGAUGAUCAGCCACACUGGGACUGAGACACGGCCCAGACUCCUACGGGAGGCAGCAGUGGGGAAUAUUGGACAAUGGGGGCAACCCUGAUCCAGCCAUGCCGCGUGAGUGAUGAAGGCCCUAGGGUUGUAAAGCUCUUUCAGCGAGGAGGAUAAUGACGUUACUCGCAGAAGAAGCCCCGGCUAACUUCGUGCCAGCAGCCGCGGUAAU